rnacentral:lncRNA from 1 species
UCAGGAUAAAGGUUGAAAAAAGAUACUAGAAAGAUGUUAUAUUUUUUUUAUUCAGAUGAAUAUGAAAGUGCAUACAUGUGUGUAUUGUCUUGUGGACUGAAUAGGAUGUUUUUUUUCUUCUUCUUGUCUUUGUUCCAUGACAUAUUAAUGCUGGUGGUUGAUUAUCCCCGUCGGUAUCUUCUUACUUUUUACAUGAAUAUAAACAUGUAAUAAAAUAUUCAAUUUCACUUCAAAAAUAUAUGCCAGAAAUUUUAAAAUUAUAAAUUAUUCAUAACCUAUUUAACAUUACUACGCAUAUUAAUUACUAAGCCCAUAUGUCAUUAAAAACUACAUGUAUGGUUUUAAAAAAAGUAUUGUGGAGUCCAUUCAGUUUUGAUUUUAAUCAAUUUUGUACGACGAUCUACGAUCAGAAGCAUUGUAUAAGUGUCCAUGGUUUAUUUAUUUAUUUAGUUAACAUUUUAUUGUCAGAGGCUUGGAUGAAAUUUGGAAAAAGGCAAGACACGCAUUUGAGCAAACAAAAACAGCAACAGUAAUUUGGCAUAACAAGCAGAUUACAAUCUAUGUAAACAAUUUCAGGAUAAACUAAUGAAAAUUGCAGGUGCCUAAAGAAUGAAAAAUUAAAAUUCAGGACAAUGAUGUCAGAUGAGGGAGGGUAGGUAGAA